CCUACGGGAGACAGCAGUGGGGAAUAUUGCGCAAUGGGCGAAAGCCUGACGCAGCGACGCCGCGUGAGGGAUGAAGGUCUUCUGAUCGUAAAACUCUGUCAGCAGGGAAGAACGGUCACUGUGCUAAUCAGCAGUGAAUUGACGCUACCUGCAAAGGAAGCACCGGCUAACUCCGUGCCAGCAGCCGCGGUAAUACGGAGGGUGCGAGCGUUAAUCGGAAUUAGUGGGCGUAAAGCGCUCGUAGGCGGGAUGUCAAGUCAAGAGGGAAAUCCCCGCGCUCAACGUGGGAACUGCCUUUGAAACUGGCAAACUGGAGUGGGUGAGAGGAUAGCGGAAUUCCAGGUGUAGGAGUGAAAUCCGUAGAUAUCUGGAGGAACAUCAGUGGCGAAGGCGACUAUCUGGCACAUAACUGACGCUGAGGAGCGAAAGCGUGGGUAGCAAACAGGAUUAGAUACCCUAGUAGUC
rnacentral:rRNA from 1 species